AGCAAAGCCAAUGUUCACUGUUAAAAAAGGAAGUAGAGGUACUUCAUUAAGUAAUUACAAGAACUACCAAUUAAAUAUCAGCAGUAUCCGGCUACUUCAGGUCCAGGGAAUCCUAAACCUAAAUGAAGCAUUUGUUCAGAUAGUCAUGGCAACACAUUCACAAACACUUAUCCCACAUAUUCUUCCUUUUUUCCCAAAGCAAAAUCAUCAUAAUCAACUCUUGCCUAAUCAUCUUACAUCUAUCCAGUAGGUCAUCUUUCAUGCCAUGUACAAGAAUUAGAGGCCAUAAUAUCUAGUUACAUAACCACCCUCCCCAAUCACUUUCAUACUUCAAAGAAAGAAACAAACAAAGAAAUUUGAAGAUUAAACAAAUAUCUUGCAUGCAAGUAAACAGGCAAAUGAAAAGAAUCAUGGGAAUAUAUGGCAUGCUUCUUAAGUCAUAUUUCCUGCACAGGUUUCGUGAACAUUUAAACUUAUCCUCCGUAAUAUGUACCUCAGGGUCCUUUACUACUCUCUCCUGGAGUUCCUUGAUGAUUGGAUGCCUUGGGUUGAUUUCAAGCACCCUCUUGCCACGCAUGUAGGCUUGCUUGUUUGCAUCUGUUAGCGUCUGAGACUGCAUGAUCCUCUCCAUAUUUGCACUCCACCCAUACUUGGAUGUCACAACCACGCAAGGAGUAUUGUCCAAUCGGUUGCUUAUCUUCACGUCAUCCACAUUAUCGCUGGCUA